UCUCUCUCUCUUUCUCUCUCUCUCUCACUCAGUCUCUCUCCCCUUUCUCUCCCAUUAUCUCUCUAUUUCUACUCUCGCCUUCUGUCUCUUUCCCUCGCUCUUUUUCCCUCUCUCCUUCUCUCUCUCUGUCUAUCUCUCCCUCUUUCUCAGAAUGGACACAGGAUGUGAAGAGAGCAGGUGGCUGACAACAGAAAUGGGAGGCUGUGGAGGAUAUGACAAAGAGCCAUCAAGUCAGCAGACUGACUGGACAGCUCUACUGUACGCCACAGGGGGCAGACCCUCGGUUGGCAGAGCGGUUGCUGAGCUUUGAGAACAACAGUCAGGUGGGUAGAUGAGUAACAUUGUGUUCUUGUUUGCUGGAUGAGUUCCAGAAUAGAAGACUAGUUGACUGGUUAGAUAACAAAUAGUUAUUACGUAUUUCUUACAGGUGUUGAUAGAUAAUGAUUGUUGUCAUGAAUUGUGCAUACAAAAUUGUAUCAUUGUCCUAUACUGUCUAAUAUGCGUUAUGUUUUCUUUAUGUUGAUGUGAAGAGAAUAGUAUCUAAAGAUUUGGUAUUGUUUGUAUGAGGUUACUGCAGUUCUUCACAGCGCUUAAGAGGGGUAGUGUCUGACGUGUGGAGGAGGAUGUCACCCAUCAGCUGUCCUCAUAGCUGGGCUACCAUGGCAACGACAUUCAUCAGAAUGACUUCCGGCAAAAGCAAAGCACUGUCACGAUCACUUUCUGUACUGACAGAUGUCUUUAUACUGAUACUUAUUGUGUUGGUGUUUUGGUUAAGGUUAAUCAUAAAAAUGCUGAGCCACAUGAGUGGACUGUCUUUGUAAAUCUACUUGUCAUCCAUGUCACAACUGCUACACAGACUUUCUACUUGUCAUUACGGCCAAAGAGAAAUAAGCAAAGUGUCCUCCAAAACCAUUUGCUACUGCUGCGCGUCCACUGCAUCCCUAUUGUCCGGCAGGGAAAGUCUUCCCCCAGAGGCUGGUUUCACAUGGUGGUUUAGAUUAAUGUUCUCAGUGUCUAGCACCAUUUGAAAUCAGUGUUCUUGGGGACAGGAGAACAGCACUGGGCCUCUGGUAGUGUCAAUCAGUCUACUGGAGCCAUCCUCUCUCUCUCUCUCUCCCCUUUAAAGGAUGACUGAUUUCCUCUGGUGUUUAGAGCCCCUUAAAGCCUUCUAGCACCAUUUGAAAUCGGUUAUAAUGACUGGGGAUCAAUGCCUCAAUGUCUUCACGAUGUCUACAUGUCAACUCUACAGUCAAGCAGACAGGAAAUGAAUUGGAUGAAUGUUCAUAUUGUACGUGUCACAGGGUCUGCUCUACAGAUCCUGGAAUCGAAAUGAGUUGGACGGGAGCUCAUUUCCAGUGGGACAGUUUUUAAAGUGUUUAUUGAAUAAAUGUUCAAUUAAACUGAAUUGAUAUCUUACGUUUUCCUGUGUGUAUGUUAUUAUAUUUGUGUCCGUGGUUAUACACCUGCAUGUAACCCUAUAUAACCCCGCUCUGCUAUGUAUAAAAGUUAUCAGAGCUCAAGGGAUCAAAACAAGUCAUUUCACAAUACCCUCACUCAUAACAGAUUGAAUCACUGUUAUACCUAGAAGAACACAACACAAUCCAACACGUACUUUAUAACAUGAUCAUGGAAACAGGAAAGGCAUUUUAUUGCAGGACUUGUACCAGACACCGCACAGAACCACAGAAGUCAACUGAGGACAGAAUCGUAAUUAAACCGGGAAAGUUCCUGUUCUAUAAUGUGGAUGAAUGAGCUCCAAGGAAGCCUGAUGUUCUCAAUAAGAUUUUAAAGUUGUGGAAGUUUCUCUUAUCUCUGCUCGGCGUCUCUGUCGCCUGUGUUACCAUGUCACGAGACAACUGGUAUCUAUUCAUAUAGUGUGUUGUUAGGUGUAGAUAAAGGUGUUGUGGAUGGGGCGAUGGCAUUGAUGGUGGUUAGCAUUGUAGUACAAACAUGAUCAUGGAGUUGAACUUGGAGACCAUCCCAGAGAAUGUAGUUGAACUGGGAGAGGAAGAGGAGGAGGCGAAGGAAGAAAAAUAAGUGCCUCUCCACAUUCAAAUGCUACAGAGGAACAGAUUUGACCAGAGGUCAUUCUGUGGACAUGAUUAUUAGCUGAGAUACUAUGUCAUUUCAACUCGUAUCAUUAUUUUAAAACCUGCCAUUAUUCCGUAAUAAGCUAUUUCCCUCAAAUCAAUGGGGUUUUAAUGGGGCCUAGUUGUCCUUGCACCUUUCCCGUUGCCCUA